rnacentral:SRP_RNA from 1 species
GGAGGUUGGCGGUGGACGUGUCCACUCGCCAAUCGGGUCAGGUCCGGAAGGAAGCAGCCCCAACGAACCUGGCGCGGGUCAUUUGUCAGCCUCCCAC